AGGUUCUGCACGUCUUUGCCCAA
rnacentral:siRNA from 1 species